CUCUUCAAGUCCCAGGGCUACGAGGACCACUACUUGCGCAUCCAGGAGGAUCACCUGGACCCUUCUCUUGGAGCCAUGGACGACACCAGCAGCAUGGAGAAGCUCAUCGAGACCGGGGAGAACCUCCUGGACAGGCAGGUCUACCGGACGGACUGCGAGACGAGGGAGUACCGGCCGGUGAAGGGCGCCGGAACCAAUAAGGAGGCGCUCACCAAGCUCGCUGAGCAGCUGAUCGCAGAGAGGCGCCGAAGGGAGGCUACUGCGCCGCCGAUGUUGCUGAUGAGCAUCACCGAGAUUACCACCGUCGUCGAGCCAAGGCCCAAAAGGCUCAAGCCUACCUACGCCAUGCAGUAAGAGCUACCCUGCACCUACAUGUUGUGUGUCUUGGUCUCAUCUAUCUAUCUAUCUAUCUAUCUAUCUAUCUAUCUAUCUAUCUACGCGCGCGCACACAGACAAACAUUUAUAUUGUAACUGAAUAAAAGUGUAGCUGCACUCAGUAUUGAUGAAUUAAUGGGUGCAUGCUACAUAUAGUGUGAUGGGUCAUGAAUAAAUGUAUCACGCAGCGCUCACUGCCGUUUGUAUGAAUGUUUGUGUACAAGCUUCAAUAAUUUUUGAACUGAUCUACUUGCAUUUGGUUUAUGCUUGCGGGCAGAGGCGUAGCUAGCAUAGAAGCAUUGGGUGCAAAUGACACCAACAAAAUUUUAGGUGAUAAUGUAGCGCUUUACAUGUACUUGAUGCUUGAACCCAACAAAAAAUCAUAUUUGAACCCAUUGACUACCUAGCUGCAUUAGACAAAAAGCAUUUUAGUCCAUAUAUUCAGUGCAAGUGUGCGAGCCCAAAUAAAAUAAAUCAAUUUGGUAGCUUGCAGCUGGCUAGACGCAUGAUCUUCAGAUUGAGUUGCUUACCGCCGCAAUGGACAGAAGCAAAUAAAUCUAUUUUCGCUAAUGGAAAAUAAAUCUGAAUACUCUUGUCACCUUCAUCGCCCUCACGCUGACAUACGGCAUAUGUCAGCGGCAAGCCGGCAUAGAAAAUAUUUGUAUUAUUUCUCUCACCGCCCUCACGGCAGCGGCAAGCCGACAAUCCCUAUUCAAAAUAUUAUUACACGCGAUAGCAUAUCCUGUCCCGCUUGUACAAGUCUUAUCCAACCUUAAUUAUAUGAUUGCUCUUUUGUUCAAACCUUGAUCUAGUAUGGAACAACAUUUUGCAAAAAGGACGGUCAUUAUAUCAUGAUAAAUAUAAUAAAGCAUGUACUUCAAGGCCACCCUUAUAGGCAAGCAAACAAAUGAUGCACUACUCCUAGUCCCACAUAGCCUUUUAUUCAGAUAGAAUCUAGUUUAAGUUAAUUGUCAUAUUACGACUAAUCCGAAGGGAAUUCCAGAGUACAUAAAAAGUUUUAAUAAAGUAAGAUUGGGAUUAGGAGAUUAGGAGAAGAGUCAUGUGUUGUCUAUAAUGUGAGGAGCUUACUAAACUGGCUGAGUUUUACCGAGAUGAUUUUGAUUCAGAUAAACUGCAUGAUGUUGGUCCUGAUGGAAUUACCGAUAUUGCUAAAUUAAUGGUGCAAGGCAGGUAAACACACUGCUUUUACUUUGGUCUAUUAACCUGUAAAGCUAGUACUGAUAUUGCCGGUUUCCAUGGAAUUAAUUGACCUGUGCUUUUGAUAUAUGAUUGUUGUCAACAAAAUAUGUAAUAAAAUGGGUCAAAUCAAAGAGUGGUUUUCUAAUUUGCUAAUGGAUGAGAGUUUUCUUACCAUUAAUAAGUAGUAACGAUGAAAGAUCAAAGAAACUUGGAAAUGACAAUGACUCUACAUGCUCCGCUUAAUAGUACUUAUUUACAACUUAAGAAAUUAACAUGUCAUUUUGCUUUUUUUUACAAGGAAUACCUUAUCUAACUACCUAUGAAAGUACAAAGUUGUGCGUUUGACUAUGAAACGUUUGAAAAGGGGUUUAUGUUUACAUUCAACUGGUAAUUAUUCAUCAUGUAGUUUUAUGUAACAAUUAUAUGUGCUAUGCUAUUUCAGUUCCUUAUGUUGUCCUUUCAGUGUUAGUAUGAGGUUGUAAAGGUAGAUCUAUGUANNNNNNNNNNNNNNNNNNNNNNNNNNNNNNNNNNNNNNNNNNNNNNNNNNNNNNNNNNNNNNNNNNNNNNNNNNNNNNNNNNNNNNNNNNNNNNNNNNNNNNNNNNNNNNNNNNNNNNNNNNNNNNNNNNNNNNNNNNNNNNNNNNUAGCCCCCACCUUGAUAAGUUGGGAAGAUUUUGGGAGAGCUUACCUGGAUUUAUUAGCACACUCUGCCACUGCAGACAAUCAUUAGUUCAUGUUCAAAUCCUUAGUGAACCCAUUGGCAAAACUUUCUGGCUCCGCCCCUGCUUGUGGGCGAUGAUGUCAUCCGCCAACACAGAUGGAUCUGUACGUGCUCACGGAUGGUUACACCACCCGCUAGCAUUUAUAUUGAAUUUUUUAAGGUAAAACAGCUCAGAAUCCUUUAUGCAUCGGAAUAUCUUAUGGUGUUCAAUAACCUCCAUUUGUGCUCGUGGGCGCUUAUAUCGCCGGUCAACACAAAUGCUUUUUUCAAUUUACAUCGAUGGGAAGGACCAAAAGUACUUACCUAGUCAACAAUUUUAUCUACAUAUUGCAAUAUAUUUUUAAAAUGCAUUAGAUAUGUAUUGUUGUGCAAGAGUUCAAUUUUUUUGGAAGUGAUUUACUAUUUUCUCAGUUUUAAAUAAUUAUAAGAAAUCUUUUUAAAAUUACACUACUAGAGAAUUUGCCUCUAGUACCGGUCCGCAACCCCCUCUAGUACUGGUUGCCCAACCGGUACUGGCAAUGCGGUACUAGAGGGGGAUCCUGCCUCUUAGCUCCCACCGCCGCUCCUGCCUCUUGGCUCCCACUACCGCCGCUACAGGCACAACAGCACGAACGCAACAAACCAUAGACAAAAGCAAUAAACCAAGUCGCUGCUACCAACCUUCGCCCGCCCGAGCCACCAAGUCGCCGCCGCCGCCGCCCAUUGCCCGCCCGAGCCGCGCCACCAAGCCGCCGCCGCCACGUCUCGCCCCACCGGCGCUCCUCGCCCCAGACAUGAGGUGAGGGGCGACCGGAGGGGGGACCAGUGUCGGGCAUACAUCUGUGGGCCCAUCAGAAGGUCUAUACGGAUGCACAUGCGGAGAAGUACACCGAAACCCGACAUGGAGACUACGGUACUGGGUGGCGUAGUCUACAUGGACUCCAAGGAACUAGUCGAAGUCAAGGAAACUACUCUACCUAUUUUUUUUGAAAGGAGGCAAAAGAUUUUCCUCAUAUAUUAAUUAAGAGAGAAGAAAGAGUUUGAGGGAUUACAACACCGCCUUACAAAGGGACUACUCUCCCGGCAUGAUUGAACUCAACUUCUUAGCACCUGCGGCGACCCAAAGUCACUACACCACAACACUGAUGUAAGGACAGGAAAACUGCCGGGAGAACGCACUUACAAGGGCAGACAAACUGUCGGGAUAGUAUUUCUCCCGGCAGAUAGAACCGCCACGAGAACGGCUGCCGGGGAUCACUUCUCCCGGCAGAUAAACUUUUGCUGGCAGUUUCUCUGCCCUGGCCCAUAUAUAUGCCGGCAGUCUAUUUUCUCCCGGCAGAUUGGUCAUGUGCAUGAAACUAAAUUUACCGGCAGUUCAAUUGCCUGCACAAGCAUGUUGACCCGGCAGUUAUUCUGCCAGUACUUUUAUUUCAGCAAACUAUUGUAGGCAUCCCUAAUGUAAUAUUCAUCCAUUAUGUUGAUGCAAUCAGGACAUAUCAUACAAUUUAUACAUACACUUAAAAGUAACAUAUAGGCCUCAUCAAAAACCUUUUGGUUGAUAAACAUAGAACAUAUAUAAGCAAGUUCUGCCACAAAAAGAGUACAUAUAUGUUUUUGGAUGUGCCACACAACUACAAUGAAGUAGUGCUACAAAGGGAGAAGUAUAUAUGUUUCUAGAUGUGUCACACAACCAAAAUGAGCAUACAGUGGCCUAUGUGCCAAAACAAGCACCAAAAUGAGCAGAACUUGCCAAAGUCUCCAGGUUCGACAAACAAGGCGCAUUACAUUAUCACUCCACCAACUUAAUUGCAGGUCUUGCAAACCUUCAGCAGCUUGUAGAUCAUCCAAACAUCCAUCAACUAGUGUAUCCUUGGGAAACCUGCAAAAACUCAAAAUGGAGCUCUCAUAGCACAAUAAACCUGUUGUAACAUGAACAUGCAACUAGUACGGAAGCACAAGAUAGCACAAUAAAAAUGCAAUUUUUACAUCACAUAAGGACAAGUAUUCUAAUGCCUUCUUUGUUUGCCUUGCUGUUGGGCGUUGGCUGUAGCAGCACACGCUGUGAACUUAUUCAGUACAUGGAAUUUGAAUGAAGGCUAAAGUUGUACACAGCUCGUUCAUUGGUGAUGAAAAGGAUUUGAACCAGGCCGAUGUAUACACAGCUCGUUCCAUUCAACUAAUAGUAACAAAAUAGUAAAAAUAUAAUUUGAUAUUCUUGUCGUUCAAACUUGUUUAUAGUAACCUAAAGGUUGAGAUUAUGACCUACCCACGAAGAAAAGCACCCAACUUGUUAGGCAUACAAAUAAGCCACCAACAAUAAACGCAUCUCAUUCAAAUAAUGUGCUUGUAACAGGAUAAAAUGGUUGUCACUGUCACCUUUGGAAAAGCUGCUACUGAACUAAAAUGUAUGCAGAGACCUCUAGCUUGAUUUGAUGCGCCUUAGAUGGUUCCUUCUCCCUCUGGAUGAUAUGGCUGCAAAAGAAACCAAAGUGAAAAAAAGGAUUGGUGUCCACGCAAAGCAAUCAGUGUCCCCGUACAAAAAAGUAGGAGUAGGAAGCAAUCAGUGACAGCAGCGGGUUGAAACUUGUUCAGCACACAAAUAUGUUAAACUUAUUGGUCUUCAUGUCUAUCAAGGGCUUGCUUAAGGAGCCUGAGAUCUCCUAUCAUAAGUGAAGUCACAGUAUCUGCAUACGUGAAAAUCUUUAGGUGUGAUAUUUCAUUUCUCCUCUAUAUUCCCAUUUCGCCUAAUUUUAUUGUAUACUUAAAUGGACUAAAAUGGAUGCAGGUUCCUGUAUAUAGGUGUUGUGUCAGAUCACAAUUGUAAUGAUAUUUAUAUUUGAAUUUCAAACUAUAACAUAAUAAUCUACAUCAUAAAUUUGAGAAUGAUGUAUAAAAAAUAUUGGGGAAUCGGAUCCAUUUUGUUGCAACAUUUCUGCAUUUUUUAUAUUUCAUAAAAGAUGGACAAACUGAAACCUAAUACAUUCAGCAAAAGGUCAAGUCAGUAACAUAAACGGAUAAACAAAUUAAGUUCACAUGACCUUUCUUCUGAGCCAUUACUUUGCAUGACCUUCCAUUCAAGUGAGUUGGAUAACAAAAUAAGGACGAAUCCAUGAAACAAAACUGUAUUUCGCCAUAUCCUAAGAAUAUAAUGGAAGAAUCAGUGCACAAACACAGCUAGGAGCAUGUAAAUUUGCAUUGCGAAAUCAUACAGCUGCUCAAUCUCAUAAAUUCUCCUGUUAAAAUUACACUUGAUUUCUCCCAUGUCCUUAAGCACACAUAAUUCUACUAUUUUGGUGAAACAGAUUUAAUCAGCAAUAUGUUGACUUUUAUCAAUGUACAUAAUCCAUUGGUCUAAAUGUGAAAAUCACUAAAAGGGUACACUUAGGUAGGUCAUCUAUAGCUUAGAAUACCUUACUACUUCCUCCAUUCAUAAAUAUAAGUUUUUUUUAGAGAUUUAAUAGGGAUUACAUAUGGAUGUAUGUAGACGUAGUUUAGAGUGUAGAUUCACUCAUUUUGCUCCUUAUGUAGUCUAUAUUGAAAUCUCUAGAAAGAUUAAUAUUUAGGAACGGAGGGAGUACAUGUUAGCUGCAAAUUUUAGAAUCUCAAUAUUCGAGAUGCUAAGGAAAUAUCAUAUUUACUAUUAGAAGUAAACCGAACAAAUAAGUAUUUUGUGGUUACAAUUGUAAGAAACCUUUUUCUAACUAUGGUAUAUGAAAAAAUGUCAAGCUUGAGUCCUUCCACUCACUCGACCUAAAUUAGGAUUUCUAUUUCAAACUGUGUGCCGCCUAUCUUGAAAGGAGGGAGUACAACAAAGGGAAUCUUUAAAUAAAAUUAGUGUACCUCCAGUAAUCCAUAUGAAGCUAGCUUCUUUUGGAUCGACAACAGUUUUAAAGUUUAAGUACAGAUCUCUAUAAGAAAGGUUAUAAACACUAUUGGACAUGAUUUUGAUAAAUAUAGGAAGCUAGUAUAAAUAAGAGAUCGAAAUCCUAUCCAUACAAAUAUAAACUAUUCUGUUCGCUAACAUGGAGCAGCAUAAAGAAAAAUAUGUAAAGUCUCUUUCAAACUGCAAACUGUUGACUUACUGGUGUUUGAUUUGUUCAUGCAGCUAACGCAACCCUACAGAAAGUAUUGCAUGGUGCUACUGGAGGAGAUGCAUACCAUCCCUACAGAACACAUUAAACUGUUUCGCCAAUCUUAGAGCAGUGUGAAGCAGAAACAACCAAUUAACUGAUACCUGAAAUGAACAAAGUGUAUCAAGCUACAAUAAUUUUAAUCUUCAGUUCUUUUUGAGGAACCCUUCCCAGAUUAACUAAUAGACUAUAUACACAUCUUUUAGAGCUACACACAUUCAUGUGCUUGAAUGCUGUCACAAGGCAUGUCCUCAACAUCUCGUCGCUUAAGACCUAGAUCUAAGAACUCAAGUUGCUUGAACGGUAGGCUUUUCUACAGUGAUCUAAGAAAUCUCACCUGUCAAAUCUCAUGGUUACGGGAUGUUGAGGAGGCAGAGCUGCUCACGGGAGAGGAUGGUCGACACUCCGCUGCUUGGGGUAGAGGACGUAGGAGGCAGCCCCGAUUGGUGCUCGGGUGAAGCUUGUGGGGGGAAGAAGCCUGCUCGGGGAGGAAGCUCGCGAGAUGGGUGGUGACUCAGGGUGGACACGGUCCGGGCCGGUCCGGUCCCGGUCCGAGCCGUCGUUUGGACCGGCUGCCGGCGGGCCGGACCGGACCGGACCGAGGAGGCGAGCGGUCCUGUUUUGGGGGACCGGACCGAUGCUGACGAAGCCCGAGCCAGACCGACUGGACCGAAUGGACCGGCCAACAACUACCGGCGUCGAUGUGUGCAAGUGCAGCGGCGAGGUGGGGUACGUGCAUGACUGAUGGGACGAAGUGGACGACGUGCGCGAGCGCCUACGUGCGCGAGAAAUUAGCUAACAACUGAAACUUGGGCAAAACCAACAAACUGAAUUUUUUGAACCUGUUGAAACUGAACCAACGUAGCUCUCUCUCUCCGUAACAACAAGUCCUAGUCUCUAAUGCAUGAUCGCACGAGCUUAUCUAGAUGAGUUUGUUACGGAGUUUGUUAGCGUAGUAGCCGCACCUGCAUCCUCCUCUUCUCUGUACAUUUGUAACACUCGACAGAUACAUGAACAUACGACCUGCUUCUCUCCUAUUGCUCCUUCUUACACUGACGAAACUGAAGUGCGUGAGAAAUCCCCACGAGCACAGAGGGAUUCCUCAAACAGCAGCGGUGGCUUCACCUUCAGAGCGUUCGGAUCAUGUCCAGUUAUUCCUGGUUGUGCCGGCGACGCGUUUUCAUACCUGGGGCAGUUGGUAACCGGUGUACGUGUUGUCGCCAUGGCAGGAUUGGUGCCAGGUUUGGGGUUGACUCCAUGGUCGAGAACUUCAGAUCGGCGCCGGUGCACGCACGGCAGCGAUGGCGAGCAGCGCCAAGAGGCUAUGGCGCACUCGAAAGUGAGGAAGGGAUGAGAGGGGAAGCUCGGGGACAUGAUGGUUCACACGGGGGCUGCCGGUGGCCACGACGACGAGGCACGGCAGCGGCGGUGACUACGUUUUCUCGGUCCGACCGAGCGGCUCGGUUAAAGACCGGACCGGACCGACAGUUUCUCGGGCCGAAAAUUGCAGCCCGAACCGACCAGAUUUUCUACCGGUCCUGGACCGUACGGUCCGGUCCUGAACGGGCCACGAGCGGGCCGAAAAGCUUGCUCGUGUCGUCCACCCUGAGUGGUGACGAGGGAAAGCAUUCGCCGGAGGAGGGUGUUCGCCGCUUGUGGUCUGGAGAGGUAGGGGACGGUGGUGGGCGGACGCCGGCGGCAGUGGUCUGGGUGGAGGCCGGACGCCACUGCGAUCUGGAGUGGUUGGGGCGAUGGCGGCAGUGCUCGGGAUGGAGGGCGGCUGCCCCCGUGGCUCUGGAGUGGUUGGGGCGACGGUGUCAGUCCUCGGGAUGGAGGGCGGUCGGCGGCGGUGGGAUGGUUGGGGCCGGUGGUACGAUGGGUGGCGACGGCGGCGGCAGCGGUCUGGUCGAGGGCACGAAGGAUUUGGGCGUCGAUUUGGGGGCGGCGCUAUUAUCUUUUUUUGAGGCGCUUUUAUCUGGUGGAGGGCCGGCGCGUGCACGUCUUGUUUUGGGCCAGAAUUUUGGUCAACCGCGCGCUUUUCCCACUAGCGCGCCCUUGGGCCCGAUAUUUUGGCCUCGCGCCAAAGUUGAUCCCCGGCAGAUUAUGUGUCGUCGUUUAGUUGUCUCGGCAGACAAUACACCCUACAAUGUACCGGCAGUUCAUGUGCCAUCAUUGCUCAAGUUCUCCCGGCAGUUUUCCUGCCUCGAGAUGCUUGUACCGGCAGAAACAAAUUUCCCGGCAGUUAUUUUUCCCUUGGUCGGAUAUUUCUCCCGGCAGUUAAUUGCCCCCAACAAGUGUUGUGGUGUAGUGAGUGUCGCCUCCUCUUUGAUUAGGGCUAGAAUAACAAAUGGCGGGGCACUUUUGUGGCGGAACACCCUCGCAUUAUGUUCGUUCCAGAUGGCCCAAGAGGUGAGUAAUGUGAGGGAGGCCACCGCCUUCUUGUUGGGGACGGAGUAGUCGGAGAGCGCGAUCCACCACUCCUUGGCGGAUUCAAAGUGCUGCCAGAUUGCGGUAUCAAUGCUUUCAAUCUGCAGCCACCCCUUGAUCAUAUUCCAUACCCGGAUGGUGAACCGACAUCGGAAGAGAAGGUGAUCCACUGUUUCCUGCUCACGCAUACAGAGGGGGCAAAGGCUACAGUUUGGCCAUCCACGUUUGGCCAAUCGGUCAGCGGUCCACACUCUGUUUUGGGCGGCCAACCAAGCGAAGAACUUCACUUUGGGAGGGGCCCAAACUUUCCAAAUAACAUGCUCCAGAGGUGAGCGGAUCAUGCCAUGAAAUUGCGCCUUGUAGGCAGAAGCCGCGGUGUAGAGUCCACUGUCAGUAUGCUUCCACACAAUCUCAUCCUCCGCGUCGUGUUGCAGUUGGAAGCCCUGAAUGCUAGACCCGAGCAGGAGGAAUUGGCUGAAAUGCUGAAUCAAGAAAUUGUGUGACACCUUUAUUUUGGAUAUCCACGCAUUGUCCAAUAGAGCCUCGCUGAUUUUCCAAUUCUUCCUUGUGGCGGCACCAUAAAUGAGCGGAGCAAUAUGUCUUUGGGCUUUCUCCCAUGCACCCAAGGAGCAUCCCAAAAAGGUGUGCGGGCACCAUUGCCAACAGUGAUGGUGGAGAAGGCGUAAAAAGGAUCAUAGUCCUUGUCGUCGCACGGGUUCCCCAAACCAACCCACAUCUUGGACGGCUCCUUCCACUCAAACUAAAGCCAACGCAGCCUUAGUGCACUCGCAAAUUUUUCCGUGUUGAGUAUGCCAAGGCCCCCAAACUCGGAAGGCCUACACACGAUAUCCCAGUUCACCUUGCAUUUGGCACCGGUUGUCUUAUCCGAUCCUGCCCAAAGGAAGGCCCUCUGAAGCUUUGUGAGCUGCCGUAGAGUGCCCGUCGGCACAAUGAGUGGGGUGAUGAAGUAGACUGCCAAGGAGGAGAGCAUGGACUUGACCAAGGCCGCACUCCCAAUGGCGGUAAUAUUUUGGCCGUCCCAGCCGCCUAGCUUUGCUGCCGCCUUGUCCAAGAGGAACUGGAAGUCCACUGUUUUGAGUUGCCAAACAAAUAAGGGCAGGCCCAAGUAUUUGAUGGGGAAGGAAGCAGCCAUAGCAGGUAAACUUUGGGUGACGUGCGGCAAGUUGAUGUUCCCCCAUCGGAUUGGGACGACCGAACUCUUCAGGAAGUUUGUGCACAGACCAGUGACGUUCCCAAAUAGACGCAAGAUGUUGGAGAGGUUGUCGACGUCGCUUUUGAUUGGGGCCAACAACAUCAUCGGCGUAGAUGGAGGUGCGCAGCGCCACACCUUGGCCACGGAUUUUGUGCAAUAGCCCUUUCCGAGUGGCAACCUCAAGCAACUUCUGGAGAGGGUCGAUCGCGAGGAUGAAGAGAAGCGGAGACAGGGGGUCGCCUUGCCGAAGGCCACAACCAUGGACGAUUGGCUUACCAGCAACCCCAUUCAGCAGGAUGCACGACGAGGAGGAGCAUAGCAGGGCGGCGACCCAAUUCCGAAAGAUGCUAGGGAAUCCUCGUUUCUGAAGGAGGUCCAGCAGGUACUCCCACCUCACCGAGUCGAAAGCCUUACAGAUGUCCAGCUUAAAGAGAAGCGCAGGCAUCUUGCGCUUGUGAAGCCGGCGGGCAAAACUCCUGACAUACAUGAAGUUGUCGUGGAUGCUCCUCGUCUUGAUCAAGGCGCUCUGGGCAUGGGAGACAAGGGAGUGCAUAUGGCUAGCAAGCCGGAUGGCCAGAACUUUCGCAAUGAUCUUGGCUACCGCGUGGAUGAGGCUGAUGGCGCGAUAGUCCAGGAUGCCCUCGGCUCCCUCCUUCUUCGGGAGAAGAACAACAUUAGCGGAGUUUAGCCAUUGCAGAUUUGCGGUUCGGAGGUUGCUGAAGAGAGAGAUGGCUUUCAUGACGUCAUCCUUGAUGGUGUCCCAACAUUUCUUGAAGAAAAGCCCUGUGAACCCAUCAGGUCCGGGCGCUUUGUCACUUGGCAUUGAUUGAUCGCCUCCUGGACGUCCUCCACCGAGAUGGGCUCCCCCAGCGCCGAGAGGUCAUGAGAGCCCAAGUCAAGCUCAUCCCAGUUAAAAUCAUAGUCCCUCGCUUUAUCUCUGCCCAUGACAUCGGAGAAGUGCGAGUGAAUAAUUUGCGCUUUGUGGUCAUGGUCGGUGACCCACCCUUGGUUGUGUUUGAGCCGGUGGAUGUGGUUCUUGCGACGCCUCGCAUUGACACGACGAUGAAAAAACUUGGUAUUCGCAUCCCCCUCCUUGAGGUUAGAAAGCCUAGCACAUUGCUUUUUUCGCGCCCUUGCAAGAACAGCCAAACUCAUGACCCUCCUUUUGAGCCGCUUCCUGAGGUCACAUUCAUCCUGGGAUAAGGGCCUGCUCUCCUGAGCAAUGUCAAGGUGGAGAAUAACCCGAAGGGCGGCGUGGUGCUGAACCUUGGCGUUGGAGAGCAGUCUGCGGCUCCAAGCACUGAGGCGGACGCUUGUUUUUUUCAGCUUGUGGUGCAGCACCUGGAAAGGCUCAGAGUGCUCCGAAUGCUCCUCCCAAGCCCCCGAGACAAUUUCAUUGAAUCCCGGGAGGGAGGCCCAAAAGUUCUCAAAUCGAAAAGUCUUCGGCCUGAUCGGCCCGACUGCAUCCGCGAGCAGCAGGGGGCAAUGGUCGACAUGCUCAUGUACGCCACCGGCUCCCUCAUCGACUACAACGCCGCCCUGCUCUUCAGGUCCCAGGGCUACGAGGACCACUACUUGCGCAUCCAGGAGGAUCACCUGGACCCUUCUCUUGCAGCCAUGGACGACACCAGCAGCAUGGAGAAGCUCAUCGAGACCGGGGAGAACCUCCUGGACAGGCAGGUCUACCGGACGGACUGCGAGACGAGGGAGUACCGGCCGGUGAAGGGCGCGGGAACCAAUAAGGAGGCGCUCACCAAGCUCGCUGAGCAGCUGAUCGCAGAGAGGCGCCGAAGGGAGGCUACUGCGCCGCCGAUGUUGCUGAUGAGCAUCACCGAGAUUACCACCGUCGUCGAGCCAAGGCCCAAAAGCCUCAAGCCUACCUACGCCAUGCAGUAAGAGCUACCCUGCACCUACAUGUUGUGUGUCUUGGUCUCAUCUAUCUAUCUAUCUAUCUAUCUAUCUAUCUAUCUAUCUACGCGCGCGCACACAGACAAACAUUUAUAUUGUAACUGAAUAAAAGUGUAGCUGCACUCAGUAUUGAUGAAUUAAUGGGUGCAUGCUACUUAUAGUGUGUAGGGUCAUGAAUAAAUGUAUCAUGCAGCGCUCACUGCCGUUUGUAUGAAUGUUUGUGUACAAGUUUCAAUAAUUUUUGAACUGAUCUACUUGCAUUUGGUUUCUGCUUGCGGUUGCGGGCGAUGAUGUCAUCCGCCAA
rnacentral:lncRNA from 1 species